rnacentral:lncRNA from 1 species
GGUCUAGCAAUGAUGGAAUUUAUAUUCUGUUUACAGAAUCACAUAAAAUUUUGUAUAGAAUAGCAAAAAGUGAUUCAAUUUCUACCAUUAUUAUGAUAUUCCAAUACGAUUGAAUACCGGUAAAAUAAAUGGAUUCGGUAUUUAAUCUUUCGAUGAGAUAAAGAACCAAUAAUCAGAAACAAUAUAAAGUGGAUUUCAUUGUUUAGUUCAAAAAAAACAUAGAAGAAAUAUAUUUUUAUCUAUUUUUUUAAUCGAGUUCAUAUAAUACGAUUGAAGUGCAUAAGAAGGUUUAUUAAACAUACGCAGACAUAACUAUAAUUAUUUAUAGUUAUACGCCUCUUCUUUUACUGCAGUUCUAUUUUUGACAGCGCAUGUCAUGCUCUAUCAAAAUUUCUAUUCAAUUUUUGAUUGAAUAGAAAUUUUCCUAUAGGAAUCAUAGACAGAUAAGAUAUCAGAUUAUAUAUCUGUGUAAAAUUUUCUGUUCUAGGGUUUACAUAUACUCAUAAUUGUUGUUAUAAUUGAAAUUGAGAAGAAUUUUUUUUAUUGAAAGGAAUCAAUACUGAUGGGUUACGUAUCAAUUUUCUUAUAUCAUUAGGAUUAGGGAAAUACUAUUUUAGAUUCAAAUACAAGAAUCGUUCAUGAAUUCACAGUCAAAUAGUUAAUGGUUCCAAUUUGUCCUUAAAAAGAAAAAAAAAAAGAGGGGGGAUAUUUUCGUCUAUUUUGUGUUGCCUUGGCGGCAUGGCCGAGCGGUAAGGCGGGGGACUGCAAAUCCUUUUUCCCCAGUUCAAAUCCGGGUGUCGCCUGAUCAACAAAAGGCGCAAAAUGCUUUAUUCCCUUUUGCUGAUAUAACUUGUCGAACUUUCCCCCAACAGGAGCACGCGAAGGAAAGGACAUCUUGAUACUUCCUUGAUUCUAAACAUCGGAAAAUUCUGUUCUCUAAAGUGCUGUAAAUUCUUGCAUCUAGGAUUCGGGGAAAGUUUAUAGUGAUGAAAGGGAAUCGGUAAAUCUUGAUAUAAUAGUCCUUCCACCACUAAUGCAGUGUUUACUGACUGAGUCUUGAAUUAGAUUGGAUAGCGGGGCAGGGAAUCUAAUUAGUAGUUGUUGAAAGGGUGAAAGGUCUUUUGUAUACAAACUCAUGAGAAUUCCUGAGUACUCAGGAAUUCAAUCAGUCAAAUAGUGAUUGAAUAGAUAAUUGGCUUUUACUUAUACAUAUCUAUUUUUUUUCUUACAUUUUAGUAACACUUUCUUGAUACUUCCAAGGGUCUUGCUGCCUAUUUUGUUUGUACUAAAAGUUUUUCGAUUCUAUUAGCAAUCAUAUAAGAACUUCUUAGAAUUAAUUGGAUUUUUUGGAUUGUUUCAUCAAUAUAUUGAACAGAAUCUUUUUUUUUGACUCUGCGCCAGCGAUUCUACUAUUAUUAGUGAACAAUAAUGGAAAAAUUCCUUCAUAUUCAUAGAGAUAGAGGACAUAAUUCACAUGGAUAUAGUAAGUCUCGCUUGGGCUGCUUUAAUGGUAGUCUUUACAUUUUCCCUUUCACUCGUAGUAUGGGGAAGAAGUGGACUCUAGGGUACUACUAAUUGAGUUGAGAAAUCAAACUGUAUCAACUGUUUUAUAGAUCAUUUUGCAAAGAUUUUUGAAUUUAACUGUUUAUGUUUAAAUUUAAUUUAAUUAUUUAAUUCUAUUUAAUUCAAUUUCUAAAUUCUUACAAAUUUAGAAAUUGAAUUAAAAAUAUCUUCAAUCCAAAAUUCUAUUGGAUUCGAGUGAAGUAAUAUAUUCUAUGAAUAGAAUAAUAUAUGAAUAAUACCCUUUUAAUCAUAAUCAAACAAAUAUUUCAAUGAUUCUCGUGUUCAUAUUUCGAAAGUAAAAGGAAUACAAAUGAUAGGAAAUUUAUUCCAACAAAAUUAUUCCUAAAUUUUCUAUUUUGAGAAAUAUGAACAAUGAAGAAGAGCGAACCCCCUCCCUUUUUUUUAUUUGUUUGCCUUUUUCCUGUUCAAAUUCAAAGAGAAAACAAUAUUAAAUAUUAAAAAUGAUUAAAUUAAGUGAAUUUUCUAUGAGAAAUAAGAUAGACAUAGUGAUUCUCCAAUGAGAUACUACGCAUACUAAGAUAUUUUCUUGCUUCGUGCUUAGUUUAGUAUUUGUUUUAUUAUUUUAUAAAUUGGAUUUAUGCUAUACCUUAUUGACUUGACUUAUUUCAUAUCAUGAUUCAAAGGUUAAAAAUCGGCAGGGUUUGCUAGUUUACUAAUCCUUUUUGUUGAAAUCUGAAAAAAGUUUUUAUAGAACUCCUUUCCUUGGAUGAUCUGUCAACUGCUCAAUCAAUUACUUAUUCGAAAUGUUAAAAAUAAAAAAAAAAAAAGAUUUCUUGAUUUUCUUUUAUUAAUAUUUGUUCCGAUUUAUUCCUUUUGAUUGAUUUUAGUCUUUCGGUAAAUGCCGGGAUUCAUAUUGAAAAUAAUAAGAAAUCUAGGAAUUAGAAUCGUAAAAGUACGAGUAAGAGUUGCCUUUCGACUCUUUUAGAUUAAUUGGAAUCAACACAAAUCAAAUAGAUGAAGAAAUAGAAUUCAAAUAGAUGAAGAAAUAGAAUUGGGACGUUAUAUACAUUACAUAGAUAAUUAAUAUCUAGAUAUAUAAAUACUAGAUAUAUAAAUAUAAGAUGAUAUUAUAGAUUAAUCUAUAUUUAUAUUAAGCCUAUAUCUUUAUACAGUAAAAACUUUAUACACUAGAAUAACAAAUAAGGAUAGUAUGAUAGAUUUCUUUCUAUCAUACUAUCGGAUCUCAUAGAAUACUGCUAAUUCUAGUCCCUUCCUUUCAUCUAAAACGCAAAAUAGGAAUCCUUUUCAAUGAUUGAAGAAAAAAACUUUUCAUUUUUUUUCUUCAAUCAUUGAUAUUGAUAAGAACUAAGAAGUCAAGUUUCAUUCAAAUUAAUCACCUUGACUAACUGUUUUUACGUAUAUUAUAAGUAAAAAAGCAGUAGGAACUAGAAUGAACAGUGCAGUAGCAAUAAAUGCAAGAAUAUUUACUUCCAUAAUCUCAUCGUUUCGUUUUUCUUUACUUCGCAAUAACUCGGGAUUUAAUCCCAUAGAGAUAAUAAAUCUUUCGCCUCUAAAUUCAAUGGGAUAAAUUCCAUCUCGAUGAUAUCGAGUCUGAUCAAUAUCAUGAAUAACAAUAUCUGAGCUAUCAAAUCGAUUCAUCGUCGAGAAUUGAAUAGUAUAACAUAGAAAGAUCUUUUAUCCAUACCGAAUUCAAAAAAUGGAUUCUUGAUUCAAUUGAUAAUUUCUUUACUUUACUUUAUUUUUAUUUAUCAUAUUCUUUCUUUUCUAUAAAAAUCAAAAUUUCGCCUUCUUUGUACAAUCAUCUGACGAAGACCCACCUUUACACUUACAUUGGUUACAACCAAACCAAAACAAACAAUAGGAGCAAAACGGGGAAGGGGGCGUUAAGUUAUAAAUUCCUUUUUUAAUGAUCUAAUCUUAUUGGAAAACAAAAAAAUGUGAUCAAGUCCCAAUAUAGAAUAUAGUAUAAACAAAUCGAAUAUUUUACCAAAUUCAUUUUUUAGGAUUUGUUUUUUUUCAGCAAAAAUCCUUAAAAAAAAAUUAUUCAUUCCCUCUCUAAUAGAAGUGGGAUCCUUAUUUUUAUUUGAUCUUUAUUUUAUUAAUAUCCCCCUUCUUUGGUAAUGAAAUGCAUAGAAUAUAUUAAAACUUCAAUGCGCAAUUUGAAUGAGAUAGAUUGUUUCAAAUUCAAAUUUGUAAUUGAGAUUACACAAAAUUGGAACCAAAAAAAAGAGACUUUUCGGAUUAAAAGAAAAGGAUUCUAUCAAAGCAAUUAAAUUACUUUUGUAUCGUACAAAUAAAAAUUCCAUUUGUGUACGUGCUACCGGAAAAGAUACGGUACUUGAUUCGAUUUCGGUCGGGAGUAAUCGAAAAAUCCAAACUCAGUAUAGUAUCUUUUGGAAUCUUGAAUAUGACGCUACCAAAAAUUAUACUAAUCCACAUAUGUCUCUAUCAAUCAGUACUAGUUGAAAAAAUGAAAAUUUCCAUAUUUGUAUUGACUUUGAUGAGAAAUGAAAAACGAAAAAAAAAAAUAAAUAUAAAUAAGAAUAAAAUUAAGAAUAAUAAGGAUCCCCUUGGGAAUGAAAUUGUGCUAUUUGCCCCCUUCGCCGAAAGGGGAGAGAUGAAUUGAUGUAUUUUUUUAUUAGAUUAUUGGAUUUUGAUCCGUCGGGACUGACGGGGCUCGAACCCGCAGCUUCCGCCUUGACAGGGCGGUGCUCUGACCAAUUGAACUACAAUCCCGGGGAAAUGCAAUAAAGUGUACAGCAUACAUAUUCUUAUGAUUUCAUUCAAACCUUUAUACUAUAUUAGAUUUUAUAUUGGAAUUGUCGCGUUGUAACAGAAACGGGAGUGGUAUACUGAUAUCCACAUGGAUAUUCACUUUAGUGAGAAAAAGUGAUAAAAGGGACAGGGGUUACUAGUCAUCUUUUCGUUAUUUCAAAUCAAAGUCGAUUGAUAAUAAAAAAAUCUUUCAAUGAAAAAAGACUCUUUUUUUCUUUCAAUUAUUCUUUUUCUUAGACUUUAUACUUACAAAUCCUGAUCUGAAUCUAGAUCAUUAGCAAGAUCAUAAUUUGUGAGAAAAAAAAAGAAAGCAAAUCAAAUAAAGAACAGGUAGAGAUAUAUCACAAAUUUUGAAUUUUUUUCCGUAUCAGGCAUUUCGAGAGAACAAAGGGGUUAUAUCAUUUCAUGGCGGAUCAGUGAAUUAUUGGGCCGAGCUGGAUUUGAACCAGCGUAGACAUAUUGCCAACGAAUUUACAGUCCGUCCCCAUUAACCGCUCGGGCAUCGACCCAGGAAGAAUCAAUUCCAGACUUAUUAAUAAUCCACGAUCAACUUCCUUUCGUAAUACCCUACCCCCAGGGGAAGUCGAAUCCCCGCUGCCUCCUUGAAAGAGAGAUGUCCUGAACCACUAGACGAUGGGGGCGCGUUUGCCCGACCGCCAGCAUACUAUGAGCAUAGUAUGAACAGUUUUUUGAAAUUGUCAAUAUAACGAAAUGGUAUGACUAGAUUCGAAGAAUCUUUCUGUCUUUCAUGAUUCCAUAGCAUUUUUUUUUUAUUCUUAUAUUCAUGAAAGAUUCAUUCUAAUUGCCAUUAUAUUAAAUUAUUUAGAAUUUUUUUUUAUAAUUUAUUAAUUUUUUUUUAAGAAUUUGGUUCGGGGGACAAAAAAACUCUUUUCAUCAGUGAUUCGAUGAAAUAUCUUGGAUCUAUGUUGAAUUACUAAAUACAUGUAUUAAUCAAAUGUAUUUCGUUCUGAUGGUGGUCAAUUCAAUUAGGUUUUGGUUUGGCCUUGAAAAAUUCAUUACAUUGAUAUUUAUCAAAUUCAAUAUCAAUAAACCACUUUUUACCUAUUCACUAGUUUAGCCUUUACUCACUAGGUAAAUCAAAUCAAAUCUCUCACUUAUGAAUUGAAUGAACUACUAUGAGUCUACUCCCUAUACCCUAUAUUUAGUAUAAUAUACUUAUAUAUUAUAUAUUAAUUUAUAAUAUACUUAGUAUAAUUAUAUAAUAUUUUAAUUAAUAUAAAUUAAUAUAUAAUAUUAUAUAAAUUUAGUAUAUAAAUAUAUUUAUAUAAUUUAUUUACAAUAUAUCCAUUUACUUUAUAAAAUAAAAAUUUUAUUUCUAAUCUAUUUCCAUAGAUCUAUCUUAUCCGCAUAGCGGCUCAUUCAGGAAUUGAAUCAAAGUGGCCCUUUUAACUCAGUGGUAGAGUAACGCCAUGGUAAGGCGUAAGUCAUCGGUUCAAAUCCGAUAAGGGGCUUUGGCCUUUUUUCAUAAAACCCAGCAGUAGUAUUCUUAUUUGCAGUAGUAUUCUUAUUUGAAGAGGGAAUAGAAAUAUUUUUGAUAUUUGUAAUAAAAAAAGUAAGAAACUCUAUAAUUAAUUCUAAAAUAAAAUUAGAAAUUUUUAAAAAUUAACAUUAUAAUGAUUUAUACCACAUUAAUACUAUAUAAAAUUAAUAUUAAUUAUAACUAUAAACUAUAACUAUAAACAUUUAAUUCUAGUUACUAGUUAUAAAUAUAGUUAUAAAGUUGAACAUUUAGUAUAUUAUAUUUAGUAUAUUAUAAUGAUUUAGUAUAUUAUAAUGAAUAAUGAUAAAUUGGCUCUUAAAUCGCCAAAUUUUAUUAUUUUCCAUUAUUCCAAUCAAAUCAAUUCUAAAAAUUAGAUUAGAAAUCAAUAAAAGAAAAAGUAAGUGGACCUAACCUAUUGCAUCAUGACUAUAUCUACUAUUCUGAUAUUAAAAUUCGAUAUACGAUAUAGAUGAAAUUGAAACAGUAGUUUUGCUUUUUCUUUUAUUUUCAUAUUCCUUUUUCUUUGGACUCCGAAAAAAUCUGUCGAUAUUUCUGAUUAAAGCUUCUUGCUCCUAGUUAUUCUAUAGGAAAAAAUCACUGUUCCCUUCCUCCAUAGAAAAGUUUAUUCGAAGUCAUAACAUAAGACAUAGAAGAGACUUUUAAAAUAUCUUUCUUUUAAAAUAUCUUUCUUUGAUUCCAGAACACAAAAUCAAUUUAUCAAUUUAUAUUGAUAUAUAUAUACCUAUAUGAGAUUUAUAUAUAAAUUUAUAUAUAAUAAGAUUGAUAUAUCUAUCAGAUCAUGGCUUUAUGUACUAAAUAUUUUCAUAUCGAUGCAUACAAUAUUUUUUUCCGAUAAUGUAAUGUAGAAUAAGUGUGAGAAAAAUACUUUCAUUUUCAAAUACUUUCAUUUAAAGUUUUCUAUUUAUUGAAUAGUGUAUUGAAUUUAAUAAUAGGAAAAUUCUCUUUCUUCUUUUCUGAAGAUAUAAAGUAAAUAUAAAAAAUAUUCGAAGUGUCUUUCUUGCUUUGACCUGCGAAAUAUUUUGGUUUUUUUAUCUGAAGGAAAAAUAAAUAUAACAAAAAAAGGCAAAAGGGAAAUAAAAUAUAAGAAAGAUGGCGAGAAAAAACAAAGUAUAAAAUAAUAAAAUAUAGGAUACUAUAGCAGUUUAAUGCACAUAGAAAUUAGAAGAAUACAUAAAAAUAUUGAUUUUUAGAAAUCUCAUGAACAAGAUGCAAGAAUAAGAUUAGUUUGAUAGAAUGAGAGAAGUAAGUCUGAGGAUCAACUAGUAAGGAGAUGGGGAUCACUUAUUCCUUGAACAGUUCUUUCAAAAAAUUCAUCUAUCUGAUUGAUGAGUCAUAAAAAAAUUCAUGGUUCGUGCGGUUAUUAAGACUAUAAGAAGGAAUAACCGAAUUGAAUUCAUGAAUUUACCUAAGUCGGGUUAUGGGCCGAUAAAGAAUUUUUUUCUUCGAAACCCAUUAAAAAUUAGAAGGUGCAGUGUACGAAAAAUCAAAUCAUACAUAAAUGAUAGAAGUUUCAAAGGCCCUGAAAAUGCUAUGAGGUGUUCGGAAAUGGUUGAAGUAGUUGAAUAGGAGGAUCGCUAUGACUAUAGCCCUUGGUAAAUUUACCAAAGACGAAAAUGAUUUAUUUGAUAUUAUGGAUGACUGGUUACGGAGGGACCGUU